AGCAACAACUUAACCAAAGAAAAAUAAAUGAGGGCAAUUUUGGAAUAUUGAAAAGUAAUCUGACAUUACCUAACCAAAACUUGGUAAUCAAAUUACCUCAAAUAUACUCUCAUUUCCUACGUGGCAGUAAUCUUGCAUUACUUACCCUCUCAGAUUACCUAAACCAAACAUGGUAAUCUAAGAUUACAU